CUGAUGGAGGCACAAGGGAUCCAAAUAACGAGGCGUCGGGUGUCGGAAGCACUGUCAGCGUCCGUGAAGGAAAUCUCUCUGUGGGGAAAUGCCCAAAUGGGCACUGGGUGAGAUGUGGGGCACUGGGAUCCCCUGGAGGGCCGCAGUGCCAGGAGCAGAGCAGCCUGCUGCCUUACCUGCCAAGGGAGCUCGAGAGUGGCAGCGGGGGGUUCCGUGCCCUGAGGUCACAAUGCUCCUCUGUGACACGGUCCCGUGGGGCACAGGCAUUGCUCUGUGCCCGCCCCAUCGCCAGCACUUGCUGUGGCUACAGUCGUGGUGGUGACAGCAUGGGACGAGUGUGGGGAGCUAUGGCCUCUGCCCGUCUCAUACUCCUCCUCCUGAUGGCUGCAAGUUGCUGUAUUGUCAGUGCUGCUCCGUGGCAAGCACCAGGAGCAGGUGGGUGAGCAAAAGUGAGCGGCACGGGGGGCAAGAAGUCAGGCUGCGUCCCCACGGCCAGACGGCAGGCUGCCCUGGGGCUGUCCUUGCAUGGGGGACGUGCUGGGCAGGGGAAGGCAGCCAGCACCCAGUUCCCAACACAGGGUCCCCCUGGGCCCCCCGCCCAAGGGAAGAGCCAGGCACAUUUUCCUCCCGUGCUGUGGUUUCACCUUCCUUUGUGCCCAUCAGAGAUCUGCACUAAGAAAGGCCGAGUGGCCACACGUUGCUCCAUGCAGACCAUGGUGGUGUUGCACACGUUUAAUGGAAACUUCUCUCAUCUCUUGGUGAUUCUAGAUGACUACGCCGAUUCUUUUCAUGCCGCUGCCUGGUUGAACCCGGCUUUUGUUCCUGAGGUGAAACCUGGAGGUAAAUCACUGCCAGAGCAGAGCCUUGGAGGCUCCCCUUCCCAUUCUCUUCCCCUCCCCAUCUCCAGACAGUUCCACACAUGGAUUGCUGUGUAUCAGCACGGUGCCACUGCAGGCACCCAGCAGCUCAGGUUGAGAUGCUGCCGUGUGGAAGGGAGAGAGGGGUGCUGUGGAGCAAUCCGCCGUUGUUCCCAUCUGGAGAUGGGGAUGUGGACGUGUGUGACACAAGCUGCUCUGUGCUGUUUGUUUACAGAUGUGAGUGGAAGUGAAUGGGGUGCAGAAUCCCAGCUGGCUCCAGGGUCGGAAGCUCUAGCAGAUGGCAUGGAACUGCCUCCAGAGAGGGCCGUGCCAAACGCGCAGCUGCCUCCCGCGCAGGAGCCCCGCUGGCCUCCCAGGGGUCCUGUGAGACAGACAGAGAAACCGGGACGAGGAAGAUAUUCGCCGCGGUUUGCUCAUGUCCUGAAGGCAAUGACGGGGGAGAAGGAAGUGCCUGAGAUCGAUGGAGAGCCUGUGGACGAGGCCGUGCUUCAGGAGGGCAGCAGCCACACACUGCCCAUCUCCCGUGAAGGCACAGAGGACGUGCCAGCAGCUGGCGCUGCAGGUGCAGGAGGUGAAGAAGCCACCAAGGGCAUCUACAUUAAGGACGCCCCCAUGUUCUGCUUGAAAGGUGCUAUUGGUGUGUUUGUUCCCAUUCUGCUCCUGAUAAUUGUCUGCUGCAUUUGCAUCCGGCGGCGGCGGAAGAAACAACAGCGCCUCAUGGAAUCUGCCAAGGCCCGGUUUGCUGCCGGUGGACAAUCAGCACAUGAGCACAGACGGUCUCGGCACCAGCGGGCUCCACGGGUGCCAGGACGUCCUGCCCGGGUGCUGCGGAGCUCCAGCCCAUCGCGGCCCCCCAGGCCCAAGCGUGCCCCGACUCGGCUGCCCCCGGCGCGGCCCCCGCGGCCCCCCAGCCCGGCCAUGUACACCAGGAAUAAGCCCCAGCCCCGCCGGGCACCGCCACCGCCACCACCCCGGUCCUACAGGGGAUGGUAGCAGUCUCCCUGGGGCCGGGCACCACGUCCCACACCUGGACAGCCGCUGCUGCCAUCCACUGUGGCUGUCCACAUUUCUAUUCCAGUCUUCUAUUCCAUCAAUAAAUAACAACAUCAUUUCCCAACUGUGUGAGAGCUUGCUUGAUCCGUGCAGGACACAGGAUGCAGAAUGCCCCCAGUCCCCACUUUGGCUUCUGUUCAGGGUAAGAGGUUUCCACGCUACACCUGCGUAGCGCUUAAGUCACGGAGACCUCGUGUGAAUUUGCGGUGAUGGAGCAGAUGUUCCGUUAUUUCAAGGAUUAACAGGAGGGAAACGAAGUUUCCAUGCAGGGAGCUGGGGAUAGGACAAAGAGGAACGGUUCUGAUGUAAAGGAGGGGAGACUUGGUUUAGACGUUGUUCAGAGGGGUAGUUGAGGCCCUGGCACUGCUGCCUGGAGCGGCCGUGGGUGCCCCAACCCUGCGGGUGCCCAGCCGGGCUGGAGGGGCUCUGGGCAGCCUGACCGAGGAGCCUUCCAUCCCAACCUCUGUGAGUCCCCGGACUGCAACCUCGCUGCAUUAUCAGCCUCGCUUUUCACCUAAAGCCACGGCUUGCGGCACUGCAGACAAGCCUCCGUGACCCGCGUCAGUGACGAGGAGAGGACGCGACGUCUCCCUCUGCCAAUCCCAGUUCCUCCCCGGCUGCGAGGCAGCACGAGCUCGGGCUCCGUUCUCGCCCUGCUGUGAGGCCGUGAUGCAGAGCAGCGCGUCCGGAACUGCGGAGGUGCGAUGUCGUCUCCCAGGCGGCUCAGUGCGCGCUCCGACUGGGAAAUCUCUGCCUGUGUCACGCGAGGACGGGCUGCGAGCCGAAGCUCCUUCGUACCGGCUGUACGCCGCAGGCGGAGCCGAAUAGAAAGGAUGCUGCUUUGUAACGUGCUUCGUAACGGCUGGCUCCGAGGGAGUUUUCUGCUCGACCGACGAACGGUCGGGAAACGCGAGAGGAGCGGCGCGCGCUCCGGGGCGGCGGCGAAGCGCACCCGGCUCACGGAGCGUUCGGGGACGCUUGGCGCCGACCCGCCUCUGCCGCGCUGACGCCGCCUACGGAGGUGGCUGCGAGUCGCAGCGGCACCGCCUCAGAGCCCCGCGGCGCACGGGGGCGGAGCUACCGCUGUUCCCGCGCUCGUUCUGCGCUGUGGGGCGGGGCGGAGUGGCCCGUGGGGAGCGAGCGUGGGGAUCGGCUUCAUCGCCGGUCCGUUCGUCACGGCGUCGCCGCUCGGCCCCGCCGCGACCCGUGAGGAGCCCCCCGGCCCGUCCGGCGCCGACAGUGCUGCGGCAGCUACAGCCCGGCCCGAAACCUGCAUCCCUUCACGGCUGGCUAUCCUGUGUGCCCAGUGUGAUACAGCUGACAGGUGGACGAAAUGGCCGCGGAUGUGGCUUGUUGGAAAGCGUAUCCCACUGCUGUGGAGCCCCACGGGUGCAGCCCCCUCAAGCCUGGAUGCCAUGCAGGCUGUGCAGACCUCAGCCUUGCUCCUGCAUCCGCCCCUGUGGGUCACUGCAGAUCAUGGACUUCCCAACAAUCAGUGAAGCUUCUCCUCACCCACGUGUGAUCGCAUCGUGCCUGUGCGCUGUAACAGUCAGUCACCACAUUAGCAAAAUAGUGCUGCUGGUGCUGAAAGAGAUGAUGGAGAACUGCCUCCAGAGAGGGCCGUGCCAAACGCGCAGCUGCCUCCCGCGCAGGAGCCCCGCUGGCCUCCCAGGGGUCCUGUGAGACAGACAGAGAAACCGGGACGAGGAAGAU